UUCCCCAUAUUGGUUGCAUAACAAGAAGGGGGUAGAAUAUACAGUAGGAUGUCAUAGGAAGAUGUAUGACCUGUGUUGGUUUUGGGGACAUCCCUCAGCAAAGGGCAGGUUGAGAGCAAAUCUUUGAGUAAUACUAUCUCUGAGAUACAGAGCUCAGUUUGUGCAGUGGCUGCUGAAUGGCACGAAGUCUGUGUGACUUAUCUAUGUUGCAACUACUGGCUUAUCCAGAUUUGUAGAAAUAUUUAUUGGACCUAAGCCAACAAUGAAUGGAUCUUAGAAAGGCAUCCUUUCCCUUUCAUUUCUUGGAAGGAGUAGCCAUCACAAAGAACAGUUUCUUAGGUCUGUAAUGUUCCAGGCAUUAUGAAAUACAGUGUGGAUUCAAGCAUGCAACAUUCAGGUCACUUGUUUCACAAGGGAUCAGACUGGUGAGGGAGAGCAGGAGAGAAGUCUGUAGCAAAACUAGCCAGCGUGAAUUCCUCUUGGCUACAGGGCAGUCUUCUUGUCCGGCAUGCUGCCAGUCAGCAGCUGGGAACACUGCUGCUGAAGUGAGAGGUCCACUUUCCUUUCAAGUGGCCCGGUGUAAGUGACAGGAAGCUUGUAGGUGUCAAAAUACAGCAUUUUCAGGUCUUCCUACUCAAACAUAGAACUCUCACGCAAGAAGAAAUCAGACCAUCUAGAGGCAAUAAAACUAAAUAGGGAAAAUGUUGGGUAAUACCUGCUGACAUCACUGUCACUGGAGGUAGACCAUAUGGGACUGCUGUUGGCUGAAGUAUGUAAACUUUACUGGACUGUGGCAUGUGGUGAAGGUUAAGGUUCAGUCAUGCUGGAACCCAAGCAAAAGGCCUCUCGAGGGAAGUCCACCUCUGUGGUGUUCAGUGCCCAAAAAGAACUGAAAAAGCAGAAGUUCUUUCACAGUGGGAAUGACCAGGUUGGUGAGGUAGUCACCAAGCAGACCCUGGAGGUGGCUCUGGAACCUUCAGAAGAACCAGAGCCUCACUGGAAAGAGGAAGCAGCGAUGGACCUGCUGCAGCUUCAAGUCUAUUACAGGACAUCUGGCAGAAGGGGCUGAAAAACUCUGCCAGGAGUAGGAGGAUGGGGGAAAAGUGGUUUAAGGUAGAAGUUCCCAAAGUUUAUGACUAGUGGAGGACUGUUAGCCUUAGUCUUUCUCUGCCACUGAGCUGUUUCAAACCUUUGAGAGAGACACUGUUGAAAACAGUGUUUUUAAUAGAGUUUUGCAGGCCAGCCUUAGAGCAUUUAGGCUGGCCUCACGGAUCAUACUUUGGGAGUGCCUUCUUAAGGGGAAUUCUGGUCUACUUAUUCUAAUAAAGUUCUCAAUUCAUCGUUAGAAGACUGAAACUCUUCUGGGGAUUCUGCACUAUUGUCAUUUGACAUGGUGGCUGUCGGGGAUUGUGGAUGGUUUAGAGGCAUAGGGGGUUAUUGGCCUAUCACAGAUUCCCUGGGAGCUGUUGCAUGCCAUGGGGGGCCUUACAGCCUAUUCUCUCUUGCAGAAGGGACAUGCUCUGCCACCCCCAAGGAACAAUAAUGUUCAGACAAAGAACAUUUUUUCCAGAUCUCUUUUGCAAACAUGGAACUGAGCAUGGAACCCUUUCUGAGCCAGGGGGAAGCUGCAGAAUUUCAUGUAUUUGCUCUUCCUUUAAGCCAAGAUGAAUAUUGGGCAGAGGCUUCUUUGUAGGUAGAUGUGUUGAGACCAUCUGAAUGCAGAUAGUUCUUGUUACUCCAGAAAGAGAGCUGCUGAACUUUAGACAGAGGGUUUUUCAUCCCUGUCAUUAAAAACAGCUCCACUAAAUAGUAGGGAAAUGAGAUGUAAAGGCCAAAAUACUAAGAAAAGCAGAACGGAGUGCUUUGAAGCCAGAGGAGGACGCUUGGUUCCUGAAUAACCAUGCUAAUUUUGAUACAAUUCCAGGAUUGCUACCAUAUAUCUGAGAUUAGUUUGGUGUCUGUAGCGGGUGUGGAAUACGUAGGAGAAUACCACUUCUCAUGCAGUGUCUUUGUAGGGGAUAGUCAAAUGAGACACAAUGGGCAAGCAGAACAGUUCACUGCUAACAAAAAGAUGAGGUCCUCUACCCUUCUGUCCCUUUCUCUUUCCAUCAUAACUUUGUAUUUUCUCUAACGCUUGUACCUCUCCAGCAAAUAAUUUAUUCACUGAAAUGGCAGAUCAUUUAUGCCAUUUAUGUUAUGGAUAGUUUUCUGCCGUUUCUCUGAAUUGAAUCAAGCCAUACAAGUGGCUGAUGCUGCGGCCAUAAAAUAGCCAUAUGCAGUAGAUGAUGUGGCUGUGAGCAGGGGAAGAGGAAGAGAGCUGGGGCAUAGGAGGAGAGAAGCAGGAGAAGAAAAAAGGAGCAGAUGGAUCUCAUACUUUCAACUGCAGAGACCCAUUAGUUUGGCUUAUCUACUCAUCAAACUGAAAGCUGUGGCUUUAUGCCACUUAAAGCAGUUCUUUUCCUAUUCAAAUUUAAUUCAUUUUUGAUAGAUAAACUGCAUUUUUAGCUCUUCCCAUGCCUGAAUUUCAUGAACUUUGUUGAAAUUUGUGACUUAGAUGUUGGCCUUCUCCUAUUUAAUUGAUUAAUUAUUCCCCCCCUCCCCCAUUCAUUAUUUUCACAUGAUUUCAUCUCUAACAAAAGAUAGAUAAGUAGAAGUCAAACAGCAACAAAAUACUGAGUAUGAGCCAUGUGGGAUUCAGAUUUUUUAGUUGGCAGCAAACUUCACUGCUUUACUACAAGCAGUUAUUUUUCUGGACAUUCAGACUAGAGCAAAAGGACAUUGGCCAUAAAACAGAGGUCUUUAGAAGUGAUGACUAAAUAGGGAAAGGCAGGUCAGGUAUCAACCAACAAUUUUAGUCUUAAUCCCAUGACGAUUAUACAUUGGAAGCUAAACAUAGGCGCAUUCUCUAUUAGUUAAGGCCAGAGAGAAUCAUACUUUUGGGUCAAGAGAAGCCAAGUCAUUUUAUUUUGUAAAUCUGAUUUCUUCUGGACGAAUUGCCUUGGGUGACUGAUAUCUUCAACAUUCAAUUGACCAGACCAAAACCUGCUCCUUUCACCCAAGAUCAUAAGCUGUUCUUUGCUGCUGAAGACCCUUCUCUCUGUGACAGAACGAUGGGAAAAGCUAGGCUUGAAAUUUUGGAGUGUUACAAUUCCUGUAUACUCUGUUCUUUUAAAAAUUGUCUUCCUCGAAUGAUGACAGAAUCCACCAACAUGCCAACUCACACCUACUCUAGCUCUUUGGAUGGGGCUAGGCUCUGUGAUUUUAUCUUUUUAUUGUUGUUUCUUACAAGUAGAGGUAAAUGAAAAAUUUCAGCAGGAAGCGCAGCAGCUGGCAGUGAGAAUGGACCUGGAGCGGGGAAGGGGCUGGUGCACCAUGGGGUGGUGGCUGUGGAUGUACAGACUGCAAUCUGAGACCCUGGCCCCAGGGAGGAAGGUCUGGAGGGGAAGAAUGGGAAAUGCUAUUAUUAGGUGCAUGUGGGUAUGAGGGGCAUAAAAACAAGGAGUGAUGAGGAACACGGUGAGUUACAACAAUACUGCUUCAGUCUGUUGGUGUGCUGUGAUGGAAUGGAAGAAUUCCACAUUUCUGCCACUUCUUAUAUGCUGCUGUUAUAUUGGCUGGUUUGCAGGCAUAUAUCAAAACACUCAUUUAAAUUUUUUUAGUUAUAUCUGAAAUCUGAAUUUGUAUGUCCUCCAGCGUAGGCAUUUUCUUCCUUUGUCUUUGUAAAAGCAUAGUUCAGCCCCCAACCUUUCACAUUUCCUAACUAAUUUUGUAUUGAGAUGUUUAUUACAUCUUUCUUGCUCGAGGAGAAUCCCAUUUGUCUUGAGCAUACAGUAUUUUCUUCUGUUUCCUGUGAAAAGCUGUUCUGCUCAGUAGGCUGUGCUUCAAAGAUACUUGCUCUAAAAUGCAGGCUUAACAAAAACCAUGCAAUUCACUCUCUCCUAUCUGCUUUAAGCAAUCGCAUAGUAAGAACUCUCCUAGAACAAAUAAACACUGCAGUCUAAAAGCUGAGUACCUUUAUCAAGGUGCUAGUGGGAAAGAGUGUUUUAAAAGAAAUCAAGUUAGUGAUAUGUUUAACCUAAUUUUUAGACAUUUUAAAUUUACAACUCAAGUAAGUGGUAGGGCUCGAAAGGGAGGGUGAGGAAAAGUAUCACUCUUUUUCUCUUUUCAGCUUGUUUACUCUCUCCAUGUGCCAGCACAGUGUGGUAUUCAGUUUCUCUCUUUUCCUAUGAGUUUAUAGGGUCGCGCACCAAUUUUCUUUCUGUGAUUAUUGCAUAUAGCAGGAGGGGAAGUUAAAUCUGUCAAAAAAGUAGAGGAUCCAUACUGAUCCACAGAAAAUACCUGAUGGGAUGUGGAAUUUGCUCCAUUUCAAAUCUAAAGAUCGGGUAAAAUUCAGUGUUACGUAGAGAUGGCUUUGCAGAGAGAGCUGCAACAGCCUGUACAUCCAUGAGCUGCUAUGAGGGUGGCUUCGGAGCAUGACAAACAACUUUUGGCUCACAAUAAGAGUAAGUUUACAACUUUUGACUCCAGCAGCACACACCCCCUUCUCUUCAUGUAUCCUGGGUAACACAUGACCAGGGGAACAGAGUAAUGAUUCUCUAAAUAUCUGAUCAAUCACAGGAAAUAGCUGGCACACAGUUGCUGCUAAUCUUCAAUCUGAGAUCGGUUGCAUGGGAGAAUUUUCUUACUACUUCUCUCCAUGGUUAUAAUCUGGCCUUGAGUUUUUUUUUUACUUGAGAUACCAUCUGAUAAGAGAUUAAGGACAUGAUAAGAAGCUGUUUUAUAUGAAAUUUAAGAGGCCAUUAACAUUCCAUUGAAUUGUAAAAUUGUCAAGCUAAAAACAGCUCUCCUGGUGUUCUGCACAGAUGCAAUAGCAGAUCACUGAGUCACAGGAAAUGAUUCAGUCAACAUUUCUAAACUUUCAGUGUGUGUUUUAUGGAAGAAACUUGAUGUAAAUGUUUAGACAGUUAUGGUUUUGGAGAUAAAUAUUGCAAUUUUAUGGAGUUUGGGGUCUGACGUACCAGAAUUGUGAUGCAUAGUUGUCAAUUUGCUGAACAUCUAAAGCUGUUUGAUUGUUGUACCUAGUUCCAGUGUGGGAUGUACUUUCUUUGGCUAAUGAACUACGGUGUUGUAUUUGUGUAUAACAGAUUACACAUCAGAAACUCCAAGCAAGAUUAAUGACCUGGGAUUCCCUCUGCACUGCUGCAGGAGAACUUGUACAGACCUCCACACAGUUCCCCUGAGCUUCUUGUCGCCCUGUAAAUACAGUGCUUCAGUAAUACAGCCUCUCACAGCAGGUUGUCCUCAGCCCUAAAUGACCUCACUGGGUAAACUGCUUCAGAAGGAGUUCAUCUACCUUUCAUUUUCUACUCUGCUGCUGAUGUGUGAGAAUCAAUAUUUGGACCUGAGCCAAUGGAAAACCAGCAGGAAGUCCAAUAUUUCUAGUUGCAACAGGUGAGGACAGGCACGUCCAAACCAGCAGUGCCAUUGUGGUUCUAGAUUUCCACCCAGAGGUGGACUGGGCUAGUCCAAAAUGUCAAGAGAGAUCCAUCUGAGCGUCACAACAAUACUGGACAACUGGGAUGUAUCAGUUACUCUGACAAGCGCAAGGUGUAUGUUGGCCAAGGAUUUUGGUUCAGUCCAAGCAAUGCUGUUUUGGGUGUGGGUGCUGCCAGGCCCCUCUGUGAGGCGAAGCUGGGGCUGCCCCAUACUGGACACAACCAGUGCCAGUCAACUCCAAUGGCUCUGUGGCAGGGCAUGGCCAGCCCCCGCUGCCAAGAUGACAGCAUCCUGGGGAAAUGUAUAUAAGAGAGGGAAAAAAUGCUGUAGGACAGUGAAGAGUGAGGCAAAGAAACACAUGAGAAGUGGCCCUGCAGCCACCAAGGUCAGUGCAGGAGGAGGGCAGGAGAUGCUCCCUGUGCGGAGCAGAAGCUCCCUGCAGCCCAAGAGAGACCCAUGGAGGAGCAGGUUGUCCCUUUGCAGCCCAUGGGCACUGCAUGGUGCAGUCAUGGAGGAGCCCAUAUAGGAGCAGAGGAAAAGUGUGAAAAGGAAGGAGCGAAGGAGAGGAGUUGUUCUGGACUGACGGUAGCACCCAUUCCCCAACCUGCUGUGCCGCUUGGAGAGGUAAGUUUGAGAGUGAAAGAGUGAAGCUGAGUAUGGGAAGAGGGAGGUGGUGGUGGGAAGACAUUUUUUGUUUCUGUCUUUGUUUCUCACCAUCCUACUCUAUUUUUAAUUGGCAAUAAAUUGAAUUAUUUUUCCCCAAGCAGAGUUUGUUUUACCCAUGAUGUUAAUGAGUAAGUGUUCUCCCUGCCUUUGUCUUGACCCAUUUUCUCCUGCUGUCCUGGUGAGGAGGGGGAGUGAGAGUGACUGGGUGGGCACCUGGCAGCUGCCCAAGGUCUGCCCAUCACCACUGUAUUUUAUUAUCUGUGCUAACUGUGGAUAUUUUAAUUCAUCCAAAUACCUGCUGUGUAAUUUUGAUGAGGAGAUCUUUGAUGUCAGACUGUUUUCAAGGGAAAUGUAAAAAGAAGCAGAGAAGGGAAGCAGACAUAAUGUUGAAUAGAUACUCAAAUGGCAAACUGAACACAAGUAGCUUUCACUAAAAAUUGUCUUGAAAGGAUUGUAAUGACAAUGUUUCUUGAUUUUUUUUUAUCUCGAGGGUGAAUUUUAAGUAAAAGGCAAUAAACAGUUGAAAAAUCACAAUGUCAGUGACGUAACAGUAAAAUCAAAGCUUCAAGAAUGAAAAUAAGUUUCCUUUGUUCAGCAGCCUGUAAUAGUUAGCUUUGAAAUUUCAGUCCUGAAUCUUUUGCAUUUCCUUUUUAAAAGUUUAAAGUAAAUGCUACUUCAGCCAUUUGGAUUUGGUCUCCUUGAAGGGAUGGAGAAAUAUAUCUUUAUGGGGCUUAUACCAUACGUCCUUUUGCUGUAACUUAGAACAUCUUUUUUUGAAAACUACUACACUGUGAAGUUUCCAAGGCAGCAGGUGGUCAAAUUUUUUUUUUUUUUACGACAAAACCAGAAUCUCCUUUGUAGUCCCUGAAAUAUGUAAUGAAUGGAAACUUAAUUAACCUACUAUUAGUAUUUUUGUCAGUUUCCUCUUUUAUCUUCAAAUCCUUUUAAUUACACCUGUUUCUUAAUAAUAUUCACUUUUCCCAGAGAGUUGGCUUAAAGUAAAUAAUUCAAGGAUUGUUAUAACUAAGUUUCAAUAGUGAAAUUGUUGAAAAUAUGUACAUACAGAAAGUACUGUGACCUGUGGUUUAUCUGACUAGCUGAAGAGACCAAAAUUGGAUUUAUUUUGGUGUAUGAUUUACUGUGUAAAUUCUUAUGGGUCUAUUGAAGCCAAAGUAGUUACAGCAGUAAAUCUAAAAAUAUAUGAAGCAAAUGGAAGAGUGAAAAAAUAAUUCAUAAUGACAAACAAGACAGGCUACUUUAUCUCUCUUUUUUGUCUAAUCAGAUUUUAAAUGUAUCCGGAAUUUUGUAACCCACCUCUUUAAGCUAAUUUGUAUUAAGAUGACUCUGCAAUAGUAGAGCAAAACAGAAAGGAGGAAAAUGUCAAACUACAGUUUCAAAACCAUCUGUGGAGUUAUCCAUAGUAAUGAAAUGAAUGGAAAUUCAGUAAGGAUGAAUGCCAAAUUCUGCAUCUAGGAAGGAAAGGAUAUUCAGGUUGGAAAUUAGGAACAAUUUUUUCUCAGAAACAGUGGUGCUGCACUGGCACAGGCUGCCCAGGCAGGUGGUGGAGUCACUGUCCCUGGAGGUGUUCUGGAACCAUGUGGAUGAGGCACCGAGUGACAUGGUCCAAAGUGGUCACAGGAAAUGCUGAAGAAAUACUGGCUCAAAUUUCUGUCUCCUUCCCACUAAUGACCCACUGAGACUCCUGACAGGUCACCUGAUGACUUCCUGCACUCUCUGCUAGGACUUCAUUUUCACUUUGGGAUGGACAGGACUUCAUAGGACCAAACAGAGGGGAAUGGCAGAGAGGAACAGCUGAGAACAAGUGUCCCAACACUAUCUUCUGACACACCACCAGUGCUUUGAACCUGCCAGAGCUUCCUUCAGCUGCAUGGUUAUUAGCUGUAAUCUCUUUUACUGACUCGUUUACUACUUUGCAAUGUGAUGUGUUACAUGCCUCUUGCUGAGAAUAUAUAUAUAUAUUUUUAGUAUGAAUUUGUUUAGCAGUUCUUGAAAGUUUUCACCCAUUGCUUUCUUAAUUUCUUUGCUAUUUAAGAAAUCUUUCCUUACUCACUCUAGGCUGGCCCUAAACUUGCCUUCUGGGAUCUUCUUCAAUCACUUCUUAAAUAAGCAAUUUAGCAUCUCUGAAUAUGUGUUUCCUCUUGAUUCUUCUCUAACUGGUUUUCACUGCCUGCUUGCUUUUGUUAUCCAUAGAAUUUUUGCCUCUUUUUGUCUUUCUGGAGAUACUUUGGAAAAACGUGUUUUUCCUUUUUUUUUUCUUUAUUUUCUAUUCAGUUCUGCUUUUCUUAAUUCAGAUUUCUAGGUGGAUUGUGUUAAAACCAGACGCUAUUGUAGCAGAGUUUGUGGUGUUACCACAUGGACAAAUGUUUAUGAUAUAGAAACAAAGUCUUGUGGAGAAACUAAAUUUUAGCACCUAAACAUCUUUCUUGAGGUUAGUUUGGAUUUUCUAUUGGUAUGUCUUGUCUGUUACCCUUCCACUGGACUUUGAGGACUUUUUCUUAUGUUUGGUAUUGGUAAUUGUCAGUAUCUACAGGCCUGAGCAACCAUAAACUCAGCAUCUGCAGUAUCAUGUAAAAUAUCUGACUCAGUGUCCAAAUUACAGGGGAAGCUGAUCAGCCAGUAGCAUAAUUUUGGCACAUUACUGUAUUAUUGCAGAUACCAUUUGGCAGCUGCCUCCAAUUGUGUUUAUGAAAUACGUUUCCAUUUUUGAUGCUUUCCAAGGGCUGUGUUUUAAAGGACAGUGUUUAGAAGGGACAGUGUUUAUUACUACACUUGCUGGCUUUUGCAGCUUCCUGCCCUGCCCUCCCCUUCUUUUGUGUGAGAAAAGGAACUGAUUUCAGCAAAAUCUAAGAAGGUAAAGGUACAAUUUCACUUCCUGAAAGCCCCAUAGUGAAUUAAUGUGGCUUAGCUCAACGUGUGUUUUCUCAACUAAAGUGCUUUAAAUUUACAAGGAGUAAUUUUCUACUACUCUUUUUGGGUUUGAGAAGAGACUUGUCAGCAUAUAAUUUUCCAAGCUUUUCAUGUUCCACCUUUUCACAUUUUUUCACAAGCUUAAAAGCCCUGCUUUACUCCAGUGUUCCACUUUCUGUUACUGUAGCUUUUUAAACGAUAUUGCUACUUAAUUAUUUAAUCUUGUCAGUCUUUUCAUGAGUCAAUAGUUUCUUGUCAUGUAUUAAAUGCAGCAUAACUCUUAAAUUCUUUUCCUACCACUUUGUGUUGUUGUCCAUAGCUUCCACAAUAACCACAAGAAUUUUUGUCUAUAGUCUGGAGCAAUAUGCGCAAAGCGUUAAUGGUGGAUCAAAUUCUAAUUGUGUGACCAUAGAACUGCAACAAUGUCCCCUUUCUUUUAUCAGUUGCAUUGUAAUGAGUAUGCAGAAGAAAACUUAAAGGUCAUCGUGUACCUGGGAAAUAUUCUUGACGCAUCUUGGCCCCUGGACUUGACACAUUUAUGGCUUCUGGACUGUUGCCAAAUGGCAACUUUGAGGAUGGUGUGGACAGUGCCUUGGGGGUAAUGUUCCUCUUUCAUCACUGCAGCAUGAGUACACAUCCAAGUCAAAAUAUUAAUAUCUGAUAUAUGUGUUUUCUUAUGGCUUCAAAUAGCCAUGAAUAAGCAGGCUCUAAAUGUACACGUCUCACUGUACUGCAUAUCCUACAAACUGGUUGUUGUGAGCUAGGGGUGAGUUUUUAGUGUUCUGCUGGCUUUCAGUAAAUUCCCAUUUUGAGUAGAUAGUUUUGUUGAUGGUGAACAGCAAAUCCAUCCAAGUGCAGCUGAGGCCUGUGAGGGAAAAAAUAUUAUUCUAUAUAUUCUACGAUGAGAUCAGUCUAAGUCCAGAAGAGAUUCACAAAAACCACAGUUUUCAAAACAAACAUCAGUUUUCACAAAGAAUUCCAUGUCUAUUGCUUUGCAUGACCAAACAUGACAGUAUUUUAGGAUAAUCUAAUCCUUUAGGUGUAGAGUAAAAGUUGUCAGCUGGUUGUGCAUACAGAUGAUUAAUAUAUAUAUAUUUAAUUUUAUUCCCUAAUAAAUAUUGUAGAGUUGAUUCCCUUGUAUAAAUUGAUUGUAUUGGGGUAUAAUAGGGAGAAACAAUGUGCAAAGGAUAUGAACAACCGUAACUUCCACUACAACUGUAGUGCCACAGAAUUUUUUAUCUGUAGUCUGGAGCAAUAUGUGAGAAAUGUUAAUAUGCUUCAAAUUCUAAUUGUGUGACCAUAGAAAUGCCUAAAAAUAAUUCUCUGUUAUUUCUGAGUAAGGUAUGAUUUUUUUAUUUUUAUUUGUGGAGUGGGAGUGAAUGUAGAAGAUAGUUUUUUCUACUACCAAGUCAUAGUAAGACAUUACUCAUUUGCCCCUUAAUACUCUUUGUUGGCCAAUUAAAGCUUCAGUUUUCAUUCACAUGUAUCCAAACCCACCUAGGCGCUUUCCUACACAAAUCAAUCUAGGGAACCUGCUUUAGCGGGAGGCGUUGGACUAGAUUAUCUCCAGAGGUCCCUUCCAAAUCCUAUGAUUCUGUGAUUCUUAUUUGUUCUUUUUAAGUAAACAGUUAAAUGUUUGUCAGUCUCUCUGAGCUAUUCUUACUAGAUUCCAUAAAUAUUCAAUUCUAAUAUUACAAACUAUUUAGACCAUCCUUUUAAAAAUGGGUUGCAGCACACCUAGUAAAGUAUUAUCCUUGUUCUUUGUAUAAUGUCUGGCUGAAG